UACAGAGGUCUCGAGCGUUAGGCGGAAUCACUGGGCUUAAAGCGUGUGUAGGCGGAUCGUUAAGUGCCUUGUGAAAUCCCACGGCUCAACCGUGGAACUGCUUGGCAUACUGGCGGUCUUGAGCAACCUAGGGGCGAGCGGAACAAAUGGUGGAGCGGUGAAAUGCGUAGAUAUCAUUUGGAACGCCAAUGGUGAAAACAGCUCGCUGGGGGUUUGCUGACGCUGAGACACGAAAGCCAGGGGAGCAAAGCGGG
rnacentral:rRNA from 1 species